UCGGGAAUUUUGGGCAAUGGGGGAAACCCUGACCCAGCAACGCCGCGUGAAGGAUGAAGUAUUUCGGUAUGUAAACUUCGUAAGAAUAGGAAGAAUAAAUGACGGUACUAUUUGUAAGGUCCGGCUAACUACGUGCCAGCAGCCGCGGUAAUACGUAGGGACCAAGCGUUGUUCGGAUUUACUGGGCGUAAAGGGCGCGUAGGCGGCGUGGUAAGUCAUCUGUGAAAUCUCCGAGCUUAACUCGGAACGGUCAGAUGAUACUGCUGUGCUAGAGUACAGAAAGGGCAAUCGGAAUUCUUGGUGUAGCGGUGAAAUGCGUAGAUAUCAAGAGGAACACCUGAGGCGAAGGCGGCUCACUGGCCCGAUACUGACGCUGAGGUGCGAAAGCGUGGGGAGCAAACAGGAUUAGAUACCCCCGUAGUCCCUGAGCGGGCUGGCAAGGCGCAU
rnacentral:rRNA from 1 species